rnacentral:rRNA from 1 species
GUGAGUAACACGUGGGCAAUCUGCCCUGCACUCUGGGACAAGCCCUGGAAACGGGGUCUAAUACCGGAUGACACUUUCUCUCGCAUGGGAGAAGGUUGAAAGCUCCGGCGGUGCAGGAUGAGCCCGCGGCCUAUCAGCUAGUUGGUGAGGUAGAAGCUCACCAAGGCGACGACGGGUAGCCGGCCUGAGAGGGCGACCGGCCACACUGGGACUGAGACACGGCCCAGACUCCUACGGGAGGCAGCAGUGGGGAAUAUUGCACAAUGGGCGAAAGCCUGAUGCAGCGACGCCGCGUGAGGGAUGACGGCCUUCGGGUUGUAAACCUCUUUCAGCAGGGAAGAAGCGCAAGUGACGGUACCUGCAGAAGAAGCGCCGGCUAACUACGUGCCAGCAGCCGCGGUAAUACGUAGGGCGCAAGCGUUGUCCGGAAUUAUUGGGCGUAAAGAGCUCGUAGGCGGCUUGUCACGUCGGUUGUGAAAGCCCGGGGCUUAACCCCGGGUCUGCAGUCGAUACGGGCAGGCUAGAGUGUGGUAGGGGAGAUCGGAAUUCCUGGUGUAGCGGUGAAAUGCGCAGAUAUCAGGAGGAACACCGGUGGCGAAGGCGGAUCUCUGGGCCAUUACUGACGCUGAGGAGCGAAAGCGUGGGGAGCGAACAGGAUUAGAUAC